rnacentral:lncRNA from 1 species
GCCACGGAGCAGGAGGGGAGGACCAAGCCGGCCUGGAGGAUAGGGGACAGAGAAAAUCAAAGGAUGCAGAAAGGGAGGAGAGGAGGGUUGAGGAGGCAGAAUCAGGAGAUAGGUUGGAGAAGGUUUGAGCAGAGGGAAGAGAUGAUAGGAUGGAAGAGGAGAGAGAGAGCGAAGGUUGGGACGGCGCAAUACCAUCCGAGUAGGGGCAGAGUGAGAAGUGUUGGAUGAGAGCAAGAGGGAAAAGGAUACAAGGCAGACUCAGGAGAUAGGUUGGAGAAGGUUUGAGCAGAGGGAAGAGAUGAUAGGAUGGAAGAGGAGAGAGUAGCGGGAGAGAGAGAGCGAAGGUUGGGACGGCGCAAUACCAUCCGAGUAGGGGCAGAGUGAGAAGUGUUGGAUGAGAGCGAGAGGGAAAAGGAUACAAGGUAGUGGUCGGAGACUUGGAGGAGAGUGGAAAGAAGGAGGCAGAGAGGAAUGAGUCGAAGGUAGACGUGGGGAGGUUAAAGUCACCCAGAACUGUGAGAGGUGAGCCAUCCUCAGGAAAGGAACUUAUCAAGGCGUCAAGCUCAUUGAUGAACUCUCCAAGGGAACCUGGAGGGCGAUAAAUGAUAAGGAUGUUAAGCUUGAAAGGGCUGGUAACUGUGACAGCAUGGAAUUCAAAUGAGGAGAUAGACAGAUGGGUCAGGG